rfam:Ixodes scapularis strain Wikel colony gcontig_1108378920396, whole genome shotgun sequence.
UCCUGAUUAGCUCAGUUGUUAGAGCGCUCCAUUGAAAAUGGAAAUGUCCCUGGUUCAACACCAGGACCAGGCG